GAAUUUGGAAAGUCUCCUUGGUAACCCAGCUCUGAUUCAAUAUUGCUCAUUCAUUCGUUCAUUCAACAAGUAUUUACGGGGCAUUUUGGUGCCAUGAGCUGGGUUAGGAGCUGGUAAUGCAAUGGGACAAACAUAUUCCCUGAAUUCAGGCUUCAAAAACACAAAACAGUAUGCCACGUGGGAAAGAUGGGGGGAGGGAAUGAUGCUAAGGAGCACCUGGCAGAGUCCCCUGGACUUCCUGGAGGAAAUGGUGAGGAAACAGAAGGAGAGAAGGAGGAGAAAAGGGUUCUUGGAAGAGAGGUGAAGAAGACAUGCAGGCCAGGAAGAGAAAGGGCACAGUAGAAGAAAUGGAGAGAAACUCACUCCUGAUACACCUGGGGAGGGAUAACGAGGUCCAGGAAGGUAAACGGAGGCCAGUUAAGGAAAGUUGCAGAAGCCAAGGGAAGGCACUUGACUUCAUCACCCUGAGUAGAAGGAGGCACUAAGGGUUCUGGAAAGGAGGAUGGGAGUCAUCUUACACUGCGCCUGGUCCUCCUGCCACUUGGCACCUGCUAGAGUGAUGUUCUCUGUGCCACAGACACCGCUCUUCACAGAUGCUGCUACUGAUCCCACCUCACUUUCAAAGCUAUUCUGUACAUGUCAUAAUCACUGAAUAGCUGCUUGUUUUCUGGUAUAAUUCUUGUGUUAUUAAAAAGGCACCAUGCUGUCCUUGUUCUUGAUCUACAUGGUCUUUCAAGGUCACACCUUGCAGGUAUAUAGAGGUUAAGAAAGAUGAACUGUGAUUUUAUGAACACGACUCCAAAAGCACUGGUGACAAAAGCAAAACCAAACAAGCAGAACUACAUCAAAUUAAAAAGCCUCUCAUGGCAAAGAAACAACAAGACAAAAAGGCGACGAAGAGAACGGGAAAAACUAUCUGCAAACGACACAUCAGUGAGGAGGCUGAUACCCAAACUAUAUAUGAGCAAUUCAUACCACUUAAUAGCAAAAAGGCCACCUGAUUUUAAAAACGGGCCAAGAACCUGAAUAGACACUUUUCCAAAGAAGACGUACAAAUGGCCAACAAGUAGGUGAGAAGGUGUUCAACAUCACUCAUCACCGGAGAAAUGCAAAUCAAAGCCGCAGCGAGGCAUCACCUUCUACGAGUUAGCCAUGGCUGUGGUCAAAAAGUCAAAUGAUAGAGAAGAUGUGGAGAAAGGGAACCAUGAGCGCUGUUGGUGGGAGAGUGAACUGGUACGGCCAUUAUGGAAAAGUGUCAGCAUCUUCAAAAACUUAAAAAAAAUAAGUCUCAUAGGAUCCAGCAAUACCAUGGCUGGAUGUAGAUCCACAGGAAAGGAAAUCAGUACCUCAGAGACAGUGGCUCUCCUAUGUUCUUGAAUUCAUAAUAGCCAAGGUAUGGAAACAACCUAAGUGUCCAUCAGGGGAGAAAGAACAUAUGAUGUGUGUGUGUGUGUGUUCACACACACACACACACACACACACACACACUAUUCAGUCUUUAAAAGAAGGAAAUUCUGCCAUUUGUGAUGGCCAGUGUUCUGGAGAACAUUAUGUUCAGUGAAAUUAGCCACACACCAAAAGAUAAAUAGCUGUGUGAUUUCACUUGUGACAUCUGAAGAUGAUGAAUGCAUGGAAACAGAAGAAU
rnacentral:lncRNA from 1 species